GUUGGAUAACAAACAGAAAAUUCACAAACUUUCAUAAAUUUAUUAAGUAAAGUAAGCAAGACCAAUACUGGGUCUGGACCUGUUUCAGCAGUCUUCUUUAAAACCCUUUUUGUGAACUACCAAUUCACAAAUUAACAUAAUCAUUAACCAGAAAAUGUACAAACAUUUUAAAACAUUAUACUUUAAGAAUUUACAAAAAAUGCCUUAAUAAAUAUCUUAUUGUAAUCUAAUUAAAAUUUAUGAUCCUAUUUUUGCCUGAUGUUUUCUAUCUUUAUAGUAAUAUUAAAGUAAAGAGAUGUGGUGUGAUUGCCAUAAAACAGCUAUCACCAUAGUUCAGAUGAAGUAGUAGAUGUAUUAAAGCAAUUAUAGGCAAUUAUGCAACCGUUCAGUACAAGCUUCAACAAUGAGAAAAAAGUGCCAGCCAUCAUGAUUUCGGACAGUUGGGUCAACAAAAAAUUCCUGGAGGAUUAGAAAAGUAUAAACUCUCUUCAAGUCUAAUUACAAUUGUGUCCCUAGAUGAAUUUUAAUGAUGUUUUUCGUAAAACCUUUUAUUUUUAACAAUGUUGACCACCAAACAUGUAACUUUGACAUCUGUCAACCACUAUUCUUAAAAUUAUGCUUAAUAUACAAUUCUCUUCAAGUGAGACUAACAAUUUUGUCUAUGAAAUGAAAAUCUUUUACAAUAAGUGAUGGUGAUUUAUCUAACUCUUGAUUCAUAGAAGUAUAAAUGCAGUAAAUGUCAACAUGUUCCUGAACCCAACUCUUGAUAAAAUUGAAUAAAAACAGUAAAUUUGCUAUAUGAACUGGUGUUUUAAUUGGAUUUGCUGCUGCUAACACAGGUAACAUAACAGUAAUUAAAAAUAUAAUUUACCCAAACAAUCUCUUUUAGGACAUAAUAAAAUAAACUUCCAAUAAAAUACAUAAUAUACAACAGGCAUGACAGGAGUGUGCAAAAAGCUAAAAAUACAUCAACAAGAUUAGACACAUAAAAAAAUCUUGCCUGUUUUAGUGGUCAUAAUUGAAUUAUGUUGCAAGUAAAAAAGAGAAGUUAAUACUACAAGCAUUUCAAUGAUCAUAAUUAUGAGGUCAAGGUUAGAAAAAACCUUUGACAACAUAGGCUGUACAAAACUAUUCUCUAAUACACCUAAAUGUAGUAAUCCAAUUGAAGUAUCUCAGAAACAAACUAAAUGCAUUCAGUAAACAUAGUAAACAGGAACGAUAAAAUUGAAAAUGUAUCACACAUGAAAAGCUCCGGUCAUAAAACUUUGAUACCAAGUUUCAGAAAGCCCUGAUAUUUAGUUCCUAAGAAAAAUAUAUCAAGACAUCACACAGUAAAGCUCACUCAUAUAAACAUCAAUACAAAUUUCAGAAAGGUUUGUCGAAGUUUGUGAGAAAAUGAGACAAAAUAUACAUCGGUCACUGCACACAUUUUUUUAAAACUAGAUACCCUAAUAAUCAUAAUGAUUGUGGCUAAGUUUGAUUAAAUUUGGUCUAGUAGUUUCAGAGAAGAUUUUUGUAAAAGUUAAAAGACAACAGAUGCCAAAAGAUGAAAUAAGCUCACUUGGCCCUUCAGCCAAGGUGACCUAAAAAGAAAGCCCUUUAACAUGUUAAAAAACAUUUCCCACCUCCCUUUUUUGGAGCAAUUACCCCACACUCAAUCCCAGCCUUGCCUUUGUAGUACAGAAUCGUGUAGUCAAUUUUAGAGAGAUGCAUCAUACACUUAAACAAAUGUUAUUGACUGGAAACUGAGAAAAAUGCUUAUUUUUGGCCUCUUUGUUUGACCCCCAAUUCCCGCAUGUUUGGGAUAAUACCCCCCCCCCCCCCCCCAAAUUAAAUCCUAGUCUUUCUUAUGGUACAAUGUCGUAGAGAUCUAUACACUUACAAACAAGUUAUUGUGCGGACAUUACUAAAAUGCUUGUUUUUGGCCCCUAAUUUCUAAACUGUUGGUACAUGUAUCAUAACCCCCAAAUGCAACUCAACCUAUCUAAUGGUAAAUAAAUGUCCAGAAACAUAAUGUGCCUUCGGAUGAAAAUAAUACAGACAACAUCAUAACAUUAUUCUUCAAACCCCAAAAAUCUGUUGCAGUCUUACUUCAGACUCACAUCAUUUACACCAUGUACACUGAAUGAUCACAAAUACAAAAUGUUGACAAUAAUAUGUUCAACUUAAUCCAUAAUAAGUAUUGGCAAAUGCCAAGUCGUACAAGUGGAAUAAGAUUUCAUUUGUUGGUAAAUCAGACUCACAUCAUUUACACUGAAUGAUCACAAAUACAAAAUGUUGACAAUAAUAUGUUCAACUUAAUCCAUAAGAAAUAUUGGCAAAUGCCAAGUCGUACAAG
rnacentral:lncRNA from 1 species